rnacentral:rRNA from 1 species
CCUACGGGAGGCAGCAGUGAGGAAUAUUGGUCAAUGGGCGUAAGCCUGAACCAGCCAAGUCGCGUGAGGGAUGAAGGUUCUAUGGAUCGUAAACCUCUUUUAUAAGGGAAUAAAGUGUGGGACGUGUCCUGUUUUGUAUGUACCUUAUGAAUAAGGAUCGGCUAACUCCGUGCCAGCAGCCGCGGGAAUACGGAGGAUCCGAGCGUUAUCCGGAUUUAUUGGGUUUAAAGGGUGCGUAGGCGGCCUUUUAAGUCAGCGGUGAAAGUCUGUGGCUCAACCAUAGAAUUGCCGUUGAAACUGGGAGGCUUGAGUAUGUUUGAGGCGGGCGGAAUGCGUGGUGUAGCGGUGAAAUGCGUAGAGAUCACGCAGAACCCCGAUUGCGAAGGCAGCCUGCCGAGCCAUGACUGACGCUGAUGCACGAAAGCGUGGGGAUCAAACAGGAUUAGAUACCCUGGUAGUC